GAUGAACGCUAGCGGCAGGCCUAACACAUGCAAGUCGAACGGUAACAGGAAAAAGCUUGCUUUUUUGCUGACGAGUGGCGCACGGGUGCGUAACGCGUAUACAAUCUACCUUUUACAGGGGGAUAGCCUUUAGAAAUGAAGAUUAAUACCCCAUAGUAUCUAGCUCUCGCAUGGGAGUUGGAUUAAAAUUUCGGUGGUAAGAGAUGAGUAUGCGUCCUAUUAGCUAGUUGGUAUGGUAACGGCAUACCAAGGCAACGAUAGGUAGGGGCCCUGAGAGGGGGAUCCCCCACACUGGUACUGAGACACGGACCAGACUCCUACGGGAGGCAGCAGUGAGGAAUAUUGGACAAUGGGCGGAAGCCUGAUCCAGCCAUGCCGCGUGCAGGAAGACUGCCCUAUGGGUUGUAAACUGCUUUUAUAUGGGAAGAAACCCACUUACGUGUAAGUGGCUGACGGUACCAUAAGAAUAAGCAUCGGCUAACUCCG
rnacentral:rRNA from 1 species